CCCUUAGAUGUUCUGGGCCGCACGCGUGCUACACUGAGUGGAUCAGCGGGUCAGGUUGCGCGAAAGUGUUUCCUAAUCUUGAAAUCCGCUCGUGAUGGGGAUUGACGGUUGCAAUUUUCCGUCAUGAACGAGGAAUACCUUGUAAGCGCGGGUCAUCAUCCCGCGCUGAAUACGUCCCUGUCCUUUGUACACACCGCCCGUCGCUCCUACCGAUUGAGUGGUCCGGUGAGGCUUUGGGAUCUGAGCAAAAAGAGCGUUUCGCUCGUUUGGCUCGGAAAACUCAGUCGAACCUUAUCAUUUAGAGGAAGGAGAAGUCGUAACA
rnacentral:rRNA from 1 species